rnacentral:rRNA from 1 species
CACGUAGGAAUGUGUCUUGAGGUGGGGGACAACCCUGGGAAACUAGGGCUAAUACCGCAUAUGGACUGAGGUCCAAAGCCGUGAGGCGCCUUGAGAGUAGCCUGCGUCCGAUUAGCUAGUUGGUGGGGUAAAGGCCUACCAAGGCGACGAUCGGUAGCUGGUCUGAGAGGACGACCAGCCACACUGGGACUGAGACACGGCCCAGACUCCUACGGGAGGCAGCAGUGGGGAAUAUUGGACAAUGGGCGCAAGCCUGAUCCAGCAAUGCCGCGUGGGUGAAGAAGGUCUUCGGAUCGUAAAGCCCUUUCGGCGGGGACGAUGAUGACGGUACCCGCAGAAGAAGCCCCGGCUAACUUCGUGCCAGCAGCCGCGGUAAUACGAAGGGGGCUAGCGUUACUCGGAAUUACUGGGCGUAAAGGGCGCGUAGGCGGCGCACCAAGUUAGGCGUGAAAGUCCUGGGCUCAACCUGGGAACUGCGCUUGAUACUGGUGUGCUUGAGGAUGGAAGAGGGUUGUGGAAUUCCCAGUGUAGAGGUGAAAUUCGUAGAUAUUGGGAAGAACACCGGUGGCGAAGGCGGCAACCUGGUCCAUUACUGACGCUGAGGCGCGACAGCGUGGGGAGCAAACAGGAUUASAUACCCUGGUASUCCACGCCGUA